rnacentral:rRNA from 1 species
GGUACCUGGAAUCAGCCUCGGCUAACUCUGUGCCAGCAGCCGCGGUAAGACAGAGGAGGCAAGCGUUAUCCGGAAUUAUUGGGCGUAAAGCGUCCGUAGGUGGUUUGACAAGUCUGGGGUCAAAGCCCGGAGCCCAACUCCGGAUCGGCCUUGGAAACUGUCAGACUGGAGUAAGGUAGGGGUUGCGGGAAUUCCCGGUGUAGCGGUGAAAUGCGUAGAUAUCGGGAAGAACACCAGCGGCGAAAGCGCGCAACUGGGCCAUUACUGACACUGAGGGACGAAAGCUAGGGGAGCGAAUGGGAUUAGAUACCCCAGUAGUC